CGGGGUUUCGCCAUGGUCUCGAUCUCCUGACCUCAUGAUCCACACGCCUCGGCCUCCCAAACUGCUGGGAUUACAGGCAUGAGCCACAGCGCCCGGCCUAGCAUUUGGUAAUAUCUUGAUGUUGCUAGUUUUGUUUUAGGAAUGUGUUUCCCUCAUGAAUUCCAGGAGCACAGGUGGUUGGAAGGGCUCUCUUGACAGUGAUUUUAUAGCUCACCAUCAGAUCACAGCAUAAGACUGAAGGCUUGACUCAUCUUUCUUCUCUUGUCCUUAGUUUGUCCAUUUGUAAAAGGAGAGAGAUUUUGCUGGAGGAUAUUUGAGGACUCUUUUAUCUCUAACAUCCCAUGAAUUGCAAACAUUAUUAACUACUGUUACCUUUCAUGACAGCAGUGCCGGCUCCGACUUCACCUUCUGCCAUGAGUAAGAGCUUCCUGAGGCCUCCCCAGAAGCAGAUGCCAGCACUGUUUCCUGUACAGCCUGCAGAACUACCCUGCACUUGAUGAAUCAGCUGGCACACCCAGAUCAAUAAACUGGCUCAUCUGAUCUUGUGGUCCCCACCCAGGAACUGACUCAGCACAAG
rnacentral:lncRNA from 1 species